rnacentral:rRNA from 1 species
CAGUAGCCGCGGUAAUACGUAGGUGGCAAGCGUUGUCCGGAAUUAUUGGGCGUAAAGGGCUCGCAGGCGGUUUCUUAAGUCUGAUGUGAAAGCCCCCGGCUCAACCGGGGAGGGUCAUUGGAAACUGGGAAACUUGAGUGCAGAAGAGGAGAGUGGAAUUCCACGUGUAGCGGUGAAAUGCGUAGAGAUGUGGAGGAACACCAGUGGCGAAGGCGACUCUCUGGUCUGUAACUGACGCUGAGGAGCGAAAGCGUGGGGAGCGAACAGGAUUAGAUACCCCUGUAGUCCCUGUCUCUUAUAA